UUCUCUGGACAGUGGUGCGACGCAAGAGAGAGAGAGUUAGAGAUUUAGACCGAAACAGGAAUUUAUGGGGAGAGAGGGAUCCCGUCGGGGGCUUACCGAAAGGAGUGGGUUCGAAGGGGUUGGGCUGGUCGGAGAUUUCUGUGGCCGAGGAGAGGUGGUCCGACUUCCUUGAGGUGGCUGGCGACGGCAGCACAAAUACACGGCUAAAAGCCACUACCGAUAAAGAUGGAGAGAGAAAACCACGGGGGAAGAGAAGGGGUUUACCGUCGGCGUGGUGGUGCUCCGAUGUCCUCUGUGGAGGAUUCCGGCGAGGAAUUCAACGAUCUCUGUGGCUGAGAAUCACAAAGAAGAAAAGUACCAGAUAGAUCUGAUGGCUCCUCCUCCUACCCUAAGAUCAUUACCAGAAAGAGAUGGAAAUUAAGCCGAAGGAAGAUGAAAAGGAAGUUAAAAUAGGCAAGGUAAAGGCAGUGAAUGUUGGAAACAAGAGGACAAAAACUGUGGCAAUUGAAGAAACCGAGUCUCAGAAGCUGGUUCUUGCGCACAAGGAGAGGAAAUGCAAGGUUCAAUUGUGGAGUCUCUGAUCGGGUGUAUGCAAAUGCAGAAUAAACACAAUAAACAGCUUAUGCGGCGCAAGGCUAUUGGAGGGCUGUUUAAUGAGGGGGAGCAGCCGGACCUCUCCCCAGGUUUACUCUUUUUUUUUUUCUCUUCUAAACGCACGAGGUAAUUCAACAUUGACACUUUUAUCUUCUUAUAUCUAUAGUUGCGUCCCUGACCAUCAUAUAAUAAAAACUUCUAACCUGAUUAAGUUGGAGUUGAAAUAUAAUUGGUUGGACCA